rnacentral:rRNA from 1 species
UAAUACGGGGGGGGCAAGCGUUGUUCGGAAUUACUGGGCGUAGAGGGUUCGUAGGUGGCUUGCUAAGUCAGACGUGAAAUCCCUCAGCUUAACUGGGGAACUGCGUCUGAGACUGGCGAGCUUGAGUGCAGGAGAGGAACGCGGAAUUCCAGGUGUAGCGGUGAAAUGCGUAGAUAUCUGGAGGAACACCGGUGGCGAAGGCGGCGUUCUGGACUGCAACUGACACUGAGGAACGAAAGCCAGGGGAGCAAACGGGA